UGGCAGCAUGGAGCGGACUGCCAAGCAGCAGAGUCCCGGUGCCCAGCCAGUCUGACAUUGGGUACUGACCUCGACCCAACACACCCUGCGAGCGACCAGCAUGACCCGGACUGAGCCUUCUCCUGCGCGGAGUGACGUGAGCCAGACAUCGACAGCCUCUCUGAGGCCCCCUGCCAGCACCGGCGGCAGUAAGCCCCCCAACAGUGCCCCCCUGCUGCGGAAAGUCGCCAAGAAAUGAUAAGCCCAGCCUUCCCACGUUUGGUGUUACCCGACCUCUAGUGUUCAGAACAGUGCUUGUAAAUAUUCCCGCCAAUACAUUGUACAGUUUUAUAAAGUGCCUUGUUAUCCUCUACUGAGACAGUUUAUUUCUGUAAAUAAAUACACUGAAGUUACUGUUGAUUUUAA